AUAAAUUAAAGUCAGGUAAGUGCUACCUUAAAUGUAAGAUAUUGUGAUAGACUUAACUUUAACUUGCACCAAUUUUGAAAGUGAUUUGUGUUUUGCAAAAAAAACCUAGAAAGUUCUGUGUGCAUUAGCCGAAAGUGGCAAGCUGAAAUGCUUUGUAACAAUUAGAAACAAAACAAAAAUAAAUAUAUAUAUAUAUGUAUAUUUACAGAUCCAGAAAGUGACCAAAAUAAUAAUUUAUCGAAAUGCCUGAAGCUGAUUAUUUCAGAUAGUCUGGUUAUCGACUACAAUCUGGACUGAAGCAGCGGCAAAAAAUCUUUAAAAGCACGCAAAGGGCUAUAUGCGGUGCUUAAUGGAGCGUUGACCCACCAAUCCGAAGACCCGAUAAGAAAUGUAAAUGAAUACAAUGAAAUAAAUAAAAUUAAAUAAAUGAAUAGAAAAUAC